rnacentral:rRNA from 1 species
UACGUAGGGUGCGAGCGUUGUCCGGAAUUAUUGGGCGUAAAGAGCUCGUAGGCGGUUCGUCGCGUCGAAUGUGAAAUCCCGGGGCUCAACUCCGGGUCUGCAUUCGAUACGGGCGGACUAGAGUUCGGUAGGGGGAGACUGGAAUUCCUGGUGUAGCGGUGAAAUGCGCAGAUAUCAGGAGGAACACCGGUGGCGAAGGCGGUUCUCUGGGCAUGUUCUGACGCUGAGGAGCGAAAGUGUGGGGAGCGAACAGG